UACGUAGGGUCCGAGCGUUGUCCGGAAUUACUGGGCGUAAAGAGCUCGUAGGUGGUUUGUCGCGUUGUUCGUGAAAACUCACAGCUUAACUGUGGGCGUGCGGGCGAUACGGGCAGACUAGAGUACUGCAGGGGAGACUGGAAUUCCUGGUGUAGCGGUGGAAUGCGCAGAUAUCAGGAGGAACACCGGUGGCGAAGGCGGGGUCUCUGGGCAGUAACUGACGCUGAGGAGCGAAAGCGUGGGGAGCGAACAGG
rnacentral:rRNA from 1 species